rnacentral:lncRNA from 7 species
AACCAUCUGCAGUUAAACCUGUGGCUGAGCUGAUGGGGGAAGCUUGGAAGAGCCCUUUGGAUGCUUUUCUCUAAGCUCCAGUCCUGAGAACAAAGCAGGCUCUUACUAAGACAGAAGAUGUACCUUUGGGAUCUCCACAAGUGGCCACUUGGGACUUGCUGCUCAGAGAGUUUGAGUUCAAGAUAGCAGCAUAGUUUCUGUGGGAGUCUGAUACCACUUAGAGGAUGGUGCUUUCCCCAAGAUGUCAAGCUGGGACCAGGAAUAGAAGCAGUCUUCUGUUUGUCUCUGUGUACCACAGGGUUUUAAUUACUUCAUAACAAUGACAUGAGUAACUGCGUGAGUGCUCUGUAAUGUCAACAAGAAGCUGGAGAUAGCAGUGUACAUGGUUUUCUCGUUAUGUAUGCUACGUACUGAAGGGUAAAGGAACAUGAAUCCAAAAGUAUAUGGUUCGAAUAAAACGACCUAUUCUACAGCACUCUGGCACCUCUAUUUAGAAUGUGUAGGCCACUCUAAAAAGUAAUACCUUCUAUUUAUUUCCGUGGAAACUGCAAUGGACACAAAGAACAGAAUAACACUAUUUGACAGAACAAAUUCUCAGCCACAAAACAAUAUUUCUCAACAUAGUCACUACCAUUAGCUAUGUAUUUUCAUCAGGGUCUAACAAGCACAUGUGAAUCCUCUUCUUGGAACAGUAGAAACAGUUUAACCCUUUGUCAUGAUGGUGCAUUUCUGGCAUUGGUGUAGAUGCAUGAUAGCGUCUGAGCUGUGGGUAAUGUCCUGGAUCCUUCAGACAUCCACAGCACUUCCACAUAAGAACUUAUCAGACUUGGAAGUGAUACAGCAGAAAUUCCCAGAGGAAAACUUUGGACACAGCUAACUUGUGUAGCACUGAAAGGCCAGAAGAGGGAGAGAAGUUGUUUUCAGAUUGUGAACUGGUAGGAAGAUGCAAAUGAAGUUAUCUCCUGUCGUGUGACACCUAUCAAGCAGGACUUGAUGUUCCUUGUCAGGGAGCAGGAUUUCUGUAACAGAUACCAGGUUCCGCUGCCAAUUUCUUUCUCCUGAUAGAACAGUUUGCAAGAUCCUAAAUUUUUGGGAACCAUUGAGUUCAGAGAGAGUAGCAACACAGCUGAAAGUGUUACAUAAACAACAUAUGCUAGAUGUCUGUGCAGAGCUGGUUAGCUCCACACAGAGCAGUAAAAACUGCACAGAACGUAGUAGCUUAGUUCCCAACUUCAACAAUGAGGAAGAGCAUUAAAAGGAGAAAAAAAAAAAUGGAUCUCUGUUUAAUUUUGUACUGAAGUUACAGGCUUUUCCUCAUGUUCUGUUGAAUGUUUGUAUUAAGGGAAACUGAUACGUAAGUCACAUCUCAAUGAAAUGGCCCAGUCAGAGCGUAGGGUCAACAGUUAGUCUUGGAUUCAUCUAGCAUAACUUUUUUACCAUCUAAAAUAUAGCCAUCAGCUUUCAGACAGCUGUCUAGACAUACUCUAGAGCAGAAAGAAAGAGAUGCUACCUGAGGGCAGCUCAACAACUUGUAGAAGGACGUGAAAGUCUGGCGAAGCAAAGCUUACUGCAGCCUGUGCUGAGUCCUGCAUUUUCGUGACAUACAACAAGAAGUUACUGUAACUGCAGUAAAUAGCCCUCUGCAAAGUGUUAUUUUUCUCGGUCUUGACUUGCGUGUUCUCAAUUGACUGCAGUUUCUGCUUUGUCUCCAGAUUCAUAUUCAAGCGCUGUCAUAUUUGCUGGUUUUCUCAUGAAUUGUGCGGCUGGUGUUCUGACAACUGAGUGCUGCCUUGGUGGUGGCAUUACUGCAGGGCAUUUGUGCUGUGCCUGCGAUGACAGGGCCUGACAUUCAAAGCUUGGCUUCAUCCAGUUGCUUGAGGGGGGUCGAGAGCGAAUUCUUGCCUGGGAGCUGCAGCCUUGAUGCCAAAUCUUUUAAGGAAGCCUGUAUCUCAGAGGCGAGAGCUCCCCUUCUUCCUGCUCAUUAGGUGGUAGGAUCUGCUACAGUGCUCCCACUUCUACAAUGCCACAGGCAAGAGCUACCGCUGCGUUUUGCAUUUUUACCUGAAUCAUUGGCAUUCUACCUCUCUGCAUUUGAGACUUGGAUUAGGUAUCAGGUUUAAGAAGAGGCUGGGAGACACAGAAGCAUGCUGACUGCUUUUUAAAUCAAGCCUGAUUAGACAUGAAAAAAAAAUUAUUUCUAUUAUAUAUUUAUGAAAGCACUGUCUUUCUGCAAACAUUAGCAUUUUCAUCAACUUAUAUGUCAUGCAAAAUGGAUUGUUCUUAGUGUUUGUGUGGGGGAGCAUUGUUAAAUCUGCCUGUUUUUUUGGAUUACUAAAUGUUUUUUCUC